UUUCCGUAGGUGAACCUGCGGAAGGAUCAUUAUCGUGGGUAGAAGGGGUGUCGCCACGCGCGGGGCCCCGCUUCUCAUCCAAAACUACGUCUAACCAUCGUUGCCUCGGCGGGUUCGCCCGCCGGAGGACGCUGCAAAACCGGCUGCAACUGUACCGUCUGAAAACCUUUUGAAUGCAAAAGCACAACUUUUAACAACGGAUCUCUUGGCUCCGGCAUCGAUGAAGAACGCAGC
rnacentral:misc_RNA from 1 species